rnacentral:rRNA from 1 species
AUUGAACGCUGGCGGAAUGCUUUACACAUGCAAGUCGAGCGGCAGCACGGGGGCAACUUUGGUUGCGAGCGGCGAACGGGUGAGUAAUACAUCGGAACAUGCCCAGUCGUGGGGGAUAACACUUCGAAAGAAGUGCUAAUACCGCAUACGUCCUGAGGGGGAAAGCGGGGGAUCGCAAGACCUUGCGCGAUUGGAGUGGCCGAUGUCAGAUUAGCUAGUUGGUGGGGUAAAGGCCUACCAAGGCAACGAUCUGUAGCUGGUCUGAGAGGAUGAUCAGCCACACUGGGACUGAGACACGGCCCAGACUCCUACGGGAGGCAGCAGUGGGGAAUUUUGGACAAUGGGGGCAACCCUGAUCCAGCCAUUCCGCGUGAGUGAAGAAGGCCUUCGGGUUGUAAAGCUCUUUCGGCAGGAACGAAACGGUGAGCUCUAACAUAGCUUGCUAAUGACGGUACCUGAAGAAGAAGCACCGGCUAACUACGUG